rnacentral:rRNA from 1 species
CCUACGGGUGGCAGCAGUGGGGAAUAUUGCACAAUGGGGGAAACCCUGAUGCAGCAACGCCGCGUGAGUGAGGAAGUAUUUCGGUAUGUAAAGCUCUAUCAGCAGGGAAUAGAAAAGAAGGUACCUGACUAAGAAGCCCCGGCUAACUACGUGCCAGCAGCCGCGGUAAUACGUAGGGGGCAAGCGUUAUCCGGAUGUACUGGGUGUAAAGGGAGCGUAGGCGGUGCAGCAAGUCAGAAGUGAAAGCCCGGGGCUCAACUCCGGGACUGCUUUUGAAACUGUUGAACUAGAUUGCAGGAGAGGUAAGUGGAAUUCCUAGUGUAGCGGUGAAAUGCGUAGAUAUUAGGAGGAACACCAGUGGCGAAGGCGGCUUACUGGACUGUAAAUGACGCUGAGGCUCGAAAGCGUGGGGAGCAAACAGGAUUAGAUACCCUUGUAGUC